AAAUUGCGGCUCCGCUUCAUUAGCGGUCUCUCUUCCUCGUUGCGGUGACGGAGGAAGCGCGUGUCUCUGCGGAGGAAUCACACGCAAACACAUGUUCUGCUUCGUCCUCGAUUAACCACCCUCAGAGCCCGACCUGGAUGGAUCUGAUGAGAUAAGGUAAUGGGAGCGAUGCAGAAACGGAUCUAUGCUGGAUCGCUUCGGUUUGGGAUUUUGUAAUUUAAAGCUGAAACUACGCUAAAUAGUAUUUCUUGCUCUUAUCACUGUAUUCAAAGUUGAAGGUCGCCAUUUCCUUGUGCCAUUGUAUAAACUGGAUCGCUGUCAAAUAAAGAGAAUUGUGUAAAA